rnacentral:tRNA from 1 species
GUCUGGGUGGUGUAGUCGGUUAUCACGCUAGUCUCACACAAUAGAGGUCCCCGGUUCGACCCGGGCUCAGACA